GGGACAGUAGGGUAGCCUGGCCGAUCCUCGGGCGUUUGGGGCGCCUGGACUGCGGUUCGAAUCCGCGCUGUCCCA
rnacentral:tRNA from 1 species